rnacentral:rRNA from 1 species
AGAGUUUGAUCCUGGCUCAGGAUAAACGCUGGCGGCGUGCCUAAUGCAUGCAAGUCGAACGGUCUAGUUUCUUCGGAAGCUAGGUAGUGGCAAACGGGUGAGUAACACGUGGGGAUCUGCCCAGUAGUGGGGAACAACUCCGAGAAAUCGGAGCUAAUACCGCAUACGGUAGGUAUCGAGGGAUACCAUACUAAAGCUCGCAAGGGCGCUAUUGGAGGAACCUGCGGCUGAUUAGCUAGUUGGUGGGGUAAAGGCCUACCAAGGCGAUGAUCAGUAGCUGGUCUGAGAGGAUGGACAGCCACACUGGGACUGAGAUACGGCCCAGACUCCUACGGGAGGCAGCAGCAAGGAAUUUUCGUCAAUGGGGGAAACCCUGAACGAGCAACGCCGCGUGGGCGAAGAAGUCUUUCGGGAUGUAAAGCCCUUUUCCCUGUGAAGAAAGAAAGACGGUAACAGGGGAAUAAGCAUCGGCUAACUACGUGCCAGCAGCCGCGGUAAUACGUAGGAUGCAAGCGUUGUCCGGAAUUAUUGGGCGUAAAGAGCGCGCAGGCGGUCAAACAAGUCAGAUGUGAAAUAUCCGGGCUUAACCCGGAGGGGUCAUUUGAAACUGUUCGACUAGAGUACAGCAGAGGAUAGCGGAAUUCCCGGUGUAGUGGUGAAAUGCGUAGAUAUCGGGAGGAACACCAGUGGCGAAGGCGGCUAUCUGGGCUGAAACUGACGCUGAGGCGCGAAGGCUAGGGGAGCAAACAGGAUUAGAUACCCUGGUAGUCCUAGCAGUAAACGAUGGAUACUAGGUGUUGGGGGAAAUUGACCCCCUCAGUGCCGCAGUUAACACAAUAAGUAUCCCGCCUGGGGAGUACGGUCGCAAGAUUAAAACUCAAAGGAAUUGACGGGGGCCCGCACAAGCAGCGGAGCGUGUGGUUUAAUUCGACUCAACGCGAAGAACCUUACCAGGGCUUGACAUGCUAUGUUCAGCAGGG